CGGGGCUUAAAGUCUUGUAAUUGGAAUGAUGGGAAUUUUAACCUCUUCCAGAGUAUCAAUUGGAGGGCAAGUCUGGUGCCAGCAGCCGCGGUAAUUCCAGCUCCAAUAGCGUAUAUUAAAAUUGUUGCAGUUAAAAAGCUCGUAGUUGAAUUUCUGCUGCAUUGCUUGUGUCCCUCUGGGGUCUGUGCAUGUGGCUUUUUUCGGACGGAGUUUCUUUGUCUGAAUGUUUACUUUGAGAAAAUUAGAGUGCUCAAAGCAGGCUUUCGCCUUGAAUAGUUUAGCAUGGAAUAAUAAAGUAGGACUUUGGUUCUAUUUUGUUGGUUUUAGGUACCAAAGUAAUGGUUAAUAGGAACAGUUGGGGGCAUUCGUAUUUAACUGUCAGAGGUGAAAUUCUUAGAUUUGUUAAAGACGAACUACUGCGAAAGCAUUUGCCAAGGAUGUUUUCAUUAAUCAAGAAC
rnacentral:rRNA from 1 species